CAAAGGUGGGUUUAUCCGCAUGUAGAAGAUUUGGAGGUUUUAGGGUCUUUUGCACGGGGAAAGUUGGUGUAUGAUAUUCUUGUUGAGAAUAUGGAGAGGCAUCUGAAGGGGGGGUUGAAGUAUUUUGAUGGAUGCACUAUCGGCUUAUUGGUAAGUGAUAUCUAAUAGUGAAUAUAUAUUAUGUUAUAUUGAAUAUACCAAUUAAUAUUGAUUCCAAAAUACGCAGGCAUGGGUGCAUGAAAGGAUCACGUUACUAGGGGUUAGCACCAGUGUUUAAAAAUUUCCCCGGUUCUUCCGGUGGCAAGACAGCAAAAUCCCAAUCGAUGAAGAAGCAGCUAGGUUGCUUUUUGAUCAGAUAAAACAAGUGCAGGUAACACUUUGAGUUACAAAAUAUGUAAUGUAUUAGGUAUUUGCUAACAUUUUUUUUACGUUUAUUAGGUUAUACCAUUUUAUGUGUACCCGAAAGAGAAAGCGUUGCUUUCUCCGGUUUUGGAAGUAAUUUCUGGUCCAGUUGUUGGAAUUAGUGCUGACAGAUUUGUUGAAAUAAGUUCUGAGAGUAGUGAAGAUGAGAUUGGAGACGUGGAAGCAACACCUUUGCAGCAUAAGAAGAAUAACUUAAAAAGGAAGAGGGGGAAUGUAACA